UACGUAGGUGACAAGCGUUAUCCGGAAUUACUGGGCGUAAAGCGUACGCAGGCGGCUUUUUAAGUCUGACGUGAAAUCUCUCGGCUUAACCGGGAGGGGUCGUUGGAGACUGGAGAGCUUGAGGCGAUGAGAGGGGUGUAGAAUUCCCGGUGUAGUGGUGGAAUGCGUAGAUAUCGGGAGGAAUACCAGUGGCGAAAGCGACACCCUGGCAUUAGCCUGACGCUCAUGUACGAAAGCGUGGGGAGCGAACGGG
rnacentral:rRNA from 2 species